GAGUAAUGUCUGGGAAACUGCCUGAUGGAGGGGGAUAACUACUGGAAACGGUGGCUAAUACCGCAUAACGUCGCAAGACCAAAGAGGGGGACCUUCGGGCCUCUUGCCAUCAGAUGUGCCCAGAUGGGAUUAGCUGGUAGGUGGGGUAACGGCUCACCUAGGCGACGAUCCCUAGCUGGUCUGAGAGGAUGACCAGCCACACUGGAACUGAGACACGGUCCAGACUCCUACGGGAGGCAGCAGUGGGGAAUAUUGCACAAUGGGCGCAAGCCUGAUGCAGCCAUGCCGCGUGUAUGAAGAAGGCCUUCGGGUUGUAAAGUA
rnacentral:rRNA from 5 species